rnacentral:lncRNA from 1 species
AUGACUUCGGAAGGAGAAGGCAAGAGAAACGGGUUGCCAGGGUCCCCGAGGAGCGCGCAGGUGGCCCUACCCCGACGCCUCCCCACAGAUUCUAAGCAGAAGAGAACCAAACCUGGAUGGACUAGACUGGAAGGAGAAAAAGGCUUCUUGGAGGGCAUGGCAUGUGAGCUGGGCAGGAUCCUGGGAGAGAGGUCACUGUUGUGGAGACUUUCUGGGUGUCUGCUCAUCCCGCAGUACCUUCUUCAAAACUGUCCCUGUCCACCUGAGCAGUGGACACAUUGGUGGGUAUCUGCACUCUUGCCUAUGUUUAGAGAACUCCCCACAGCACGGGUUCUGGUGGAAGGUGGGGUCCACUUCCCAGUAUGAAGCAGCAAAGGCCAGAUGGGCCUCAUGUUCUCAUCAUCCAGUGGCAAUGAGGUGCCUGCUUAUGACUUCAGCUCAACCAAUCAGACAUUCCCACUGGGACAUUUCCUCUGCAGCUGGUGAUACAAAGAAGCAGGGACAAGAGAAUCCAUUCUGGUAUCUGUUGGGAGUGGGAAGGAGUUAGGGGGACAUACCCACUGCCCAGGGGAAUGUUGGCUACAAUGCCAGUGAGCCGUCUCACCAUUGAUAGGGAUGCAAACUGCCCAGUCCAGCUUUUGGGGGUACUGGCAACAACAUCCCAACAAAACCACUUCUUUUUUUGAAAUAUUUUAUUUAUUCAUUCAUUAGAGACACACAGAGAGAGAGAUAGAGGCAGAGACACAGGCAGAGGGAGAAGCAGGCUCCAUGCAGGGAGCCCAACGUGGGACUCGAUCCCAGGACUCCAGGAUCAGACCCUGGGCUGAAGGCAGGCACUCAGCCUCUGAGCCACCCAGGCGUCCCCCAACAAAACCACUUCUGUGAUGCAACUGAGGCCAUAGUUCUAGCUGAUUACCCUCUCCUGUCCUGGCUUGUUUUCCAACUCUGAAAAUUCUGUGAUCUAAUUUCUAUCCUUCCAAUAAAUUUCUUUUCUGCUCACAUCUGUUUCCAUUGCUUGCAAUAAAGACCCCUGCCUCCCUGCCCACAGAUGAUGGGGUGGGGUGGGGUGGGAGAGGCAGACACCUGACUCACGAUAGACCAAUCAGAUUCUCUCUCCCCACUCAGCAGCGUCUGUUGGUUGCUCUGAAAGCCCCCGGGUGUGUGUGCACGUGGACAGCAGAGAAAGGACAGCAGGAAGCAAGAAUCAAGUAGACACAGAGAGAGAAGCUGCACAUGACAGCAGAGAAGCUGAUUCCUGAUGCUCUCCAGUUCCUGGUCCUAGGUCCUCAUGACACCCAACUCCAUUUCCACCCCUUGGGUUCCCUAAGUUGGCCCUGCAUCCUUACAUUAG